rnacentral:rRNA from 1 species
UACGUAGGGGGCAAGCGUUGUCCGGAAUCAUUGGGCGUAAAGCGCGCGUAGGCGGACCUGCAAGUCGGGGGUGAAAGCCCGAGGCUCAACCUCGGAACUGCCUUCGAUACUGCGGGUCUCGAGUCCGGAGAGGUGAGUGGAAUUCCGUAGUGUAGAGGUGAAAUUCGUAGAUAUUAGGAAGAACACCAGUGGCGAAGGCGGCU